rnacentral:rRNA from 1 species
UGUGAACUGCGAAUGGCUCAUUAAAUCAGUUAUCGUUUAUUUGAUAGUACCUUACUACAUGGAUACCUGUGGUAAUUCUAGAGCUAAUACAUGCUAAAAACCUCGACUUCGGAAGGGGUGUAUUUAUUAGAUAAAAAACCAACGCCCUUCGGGGCUCCUUGGUGAAUCAUAAUAACUAAGCGAAUCGCAUGGCCUUGCGCCGGCGAUGGUUCAUUCAAAUUUCUGCCCUAUCAACUUUCGAUGGUAGGAUAGUGGCCUACCAUGGUGGCAACGGGUAACGGGGAAUUAGGGUUCGAUUCCGGAGAGGGAGCCUGAGAAACGGCUACCACAUCCAAGGAAGGCAGCAGGCGCGCAAAUUACCCAAUCCCGACACGGGGAGGUAGUGACAAUAAAUACUGAUACGGGGCUCUUUUGGGUCUCGUAAUUGGAAUGAGUACAAUCUAAAUCCCUUAACGAGGAACAAUUGGAGGGCAAGUCUGGUGCCAGCAGCCGCGGUAAUUCCAGCUCCAAUAGCGUAUAUUAAAGUUGUUGCAGUUAAAAAGCUCGUAGUUGAACCUUGGGUCUGGCUGGCCGGUCCGCCUCACCGCGAGUACUGGUCCGGCUGGACCUUUCCUUCUGGGGAACCUCAUGGCCUUCACUGGCUGUGGGGGGAACCAGGACUUUUACUGUGAAAAAAUUAGAGUGUUCAAAGCAGGCCUUUGCUCGAAUACAUUAGCAUGGAAUAAUAGAAUAGGACGUGCGGUUCUAUUUUGUUGGUUUCUAGGACCGCCGUAAUGAUUAAUAGGGAUAGUCGGGGGCGUCAGUAUUCAGCUGUCAGAGGUGAAAUUCUUGGAUUUGCUGAAGACUAACUACUGCGAAAGCAUUCGCCAAGGAUGUUUUCAUUAAUCAGGGAACGAAAGUUAGGGGAUCGAAGACGAUCAGAUACCGUCGUAGUCUUAACCAUAAACUAUGCCGACUAGGGAUCGGGCGGUGUUUCUAUAAUGACCCGCUCGGCACCUUACGAGAAAUCAAAG